rnacentral:rRNA from 1 species
GGGUUGUGAGGUUAAGCGACUAAGCGUACACGGUGGAUGCCCUGGCAGUCAGAGGCGAUGAAGGACGUGCUAAUCUGCGAUAAGCGUCGGUAAGGUGAUAUGAACCGUUAUAACCGGCGAUUUCCGAAUGGGGAAACCCAGUGUGAUUCGUCACACUAUCAUUAACUGAAUCCAUAGGUUAAUGAGGCGAACCGGGGGAACUGAAACAUCUAAGUACCCCGAGGAAAAGAAAUCAACCGAGAUUCCCCCAGUAGCGGCGAGCGAACGGGGAGCAGCCCAGAGCCUGAAUCAGUGUGUGUGUUAGUGGAAGCGUCUGGAAAGGCGCGCGAUACAGGGUGACAGCCCCGUACACAAAAAUGCACAUGCUGUGAGCUCGAUGAGUAGGGCGGGACACGUGGUAUCCUGUCUGAAUAUGGGGGGACCAUCCUCCAAGGCUAAAUACUCCUGACUGACCGAUAGUGAACCAGUACCGUGAGGGAAAGGCGAAAAGAACCCCGGCGAGGGGAGUGAAAAAGAACCUGAAACCGUGUACGUACAAGCAGUGGGAGCACGCUUAGGCGUGUGACUGCGUACCUUUUGUAUAAUGGGUCAGCGACUUAUAUUCUGUAGCAAGGUUAACCGAAUAGGGGAGCCGAAGGGAAACCGAGUCUUAACUGGGCGUUAAGUUGCAGGGUAUAGACCCGAAACCCGGUGAUCUAGCCAUGGGCAGGUUGAAGGUUGGGUAACACUAACUGGAGGACCGAACCGACUAAUGUUGAAAAAUUAGCGGAUGACUUGUGGCUGGGGGUGAAAGGCCAAUCAAACCGGGAGAUAGCUGGUUCUCCCCGAAAGCUAUUUAGGUAGCGCCUCGUGAAUUCAUCUCCGGGGGUAGAGCACUGUUUCGGCAAGGGGGUCAUCCCGACUUACCAACCCGAUGCAAACUGCGAAUACCGGAGAAUGUUAUCACGGGAGACACACGGCGGGUGCUAACGUCCGUCGUGAAGAGGGAAACAACCCAGACCGCCAGCUAAGGUCCCAAAGUCAUGGUUAAGUGGGAAACGAUGUGGGAAGGCCCAGACAGCCAGGAUGUUGGCUUAGAAGCAGCCAUCAUUUAAAGAAAGCGUAAUAGCUCACUGGUCGAGUCGGCCUGCGCGGAAGAUGUAACGGGGCUAAACCAUGCACCGAAGCUGCGGCAGCGACGCUGAUGCGUUGUUGGGUAGGGGAGCGUUCUGUAAGCCUGCGAAGGUGUGCUGUGAGGCAUGCUGGAGGUAUCAGAAGUGCGAAUGCUGACAUAAGUAACGAUAAAGCGGGUGAAAAGCCCGCUCGCCGGAAGACCAAGGGUUCCUGUCCAACGUUAAUCGGGGCAGGGUGAGUCGACCCCUAAGGCGAGGCCGAAAGGCGUAGUCGAUGGGAAACAGGUUAAUAUUCCUGUACUUGGUGUUACUGCGAAGGGGGGACGGAGAAGGCUAUGUUGGCCGGGCGACGGUUGUCCCGGUUUAAGCGUGUAGGCUGGUUUUCCAGGCAAAUCCGGAAAAUCAAGGCUGAGGCGUGAUGACGAGGCACUACGGUGCUGAAGCAACAAAUGCCCUGCUUCCAGGAAAAGCCUCUAAGCAUCAGGUAACAUCAAAUCGUACCCCAAACCGACACAGGUGGUCAGGUAGAGAAUACCAAGGCGCUUGAGAGAACUCGGGUGAAGGAACUAGGCAAAAUGGUGCCGUAACUUCGGGAGAAGGCACGCUGAUAUGUAGGUGAAGUCCCUCGCGGAUGGAGCUGAAAUCAGUCGAAGAUACCAGCUGGCUGCAACUGUUUAUUAAAAACACAGCACUGUGCAAACACGAAAGUGGACGUAUACGGUGUGACGCCUGCCCGGUGCCGGAAGGUUAAUUGAUGGGGUUAGCGCAAGCGAAGCUCUUGAUCGAAGCCCCGGUAAACGGCGGCCGUAACUAUAACGGUCCUAAGGUAGCGAAAUUCCUUGUCGGGUAAGUUCCGACCUGCACGAAUGGCGUAAUGAUGGCCAGGCUGUCUCCACCCGAGACUCAGUGAAAUUGAACUCGCUGUGAAGAUGCAGUGUACCCGCGGCAAGACGGAAAGACCCCGUGAACCUUUACUAUAGCUUGACACUGAACAUUGAGCCUUGAUGUGUAGGAUAGGUGGGAGGCUUUGAAGUGUGGACGCCAGUCUGCAUGGAGCCGACCUUGAAAUACCACCCUUUAAUGUUUGAUGUUCUAACGUUGACCCGUAAUCCGGGUUGCGGACAGUGUCUGGUGGGUAGUUUGACUGGGGCGGUCUCCUCCUAAAGAGUAACGGAGGAGCACGAAGGUUGGCUAAUCCUGGUCGGACAUCAGGAGGUUAGUGCAAUGGCAUAAGCCAGCUUGACUGCGAGCGUGACGGCGCGAGCAGGUGCGAAAGCAGGUCAUAGUGAUCCGGUGGUUCUGAAUGGAAGGGCCAUCGCUCAACGGAUAAAAGGUACUCCGGGGAUAACAGGCUGAUACCGCCCAAGAGUUCAUAUCGACGGCGGUGUUUGGCACCUCGAUGUCGGCUCAUCACAUCCUGGGGCUGAAGUAGGUCCCAAGGGUAUGGCUGUUCGCCAUUUAAAGUGGUACGCGAGCUGGGUUUAGAACGUCGUGAGACAGUUCGGUCCCUAUCUGCCGUGGGCGCUGGAGAAUUGAGGGGGGCUGCUCCUAGUACGAGAGGACCGGAGUGGACGCAUCACUGGUGUUCGGGUUGUCAUGCCAAUGGCACUGCCCGGUAGCUAAAUGCGGAAGAGAUAAGUGCUGAAAGCAUCUAAGCACGAAACUUGCCCCGAGAUGAGUUCUCCCUGACUCCUUGAGAGUCCUGAAGGAACGUUGAAGACGACGACGUUGAUAGGCCGGGUGUGUAAGCGCAGCGAUGCGUUGAGCUAACCGGUACUAAUGAACCGUGAGGCUUAACCUUACAACGCCGAAGCUGUU